AGGGCGAAUACAGUAACUUCAGAAAAUAUAAUAUUGCCAUGAUAAAAUGAAGUAAUAUCACUAUCAAAAUGUAAUAAUACUUUAACAACAUUUGUUUACACUAUAAAUAAUCCAAACUUAAUAAAUUUCCAACCAAAAACAACACAUAAUUACAAAAUGAUCUCAGUUGAUCAAUGUAUUCCUAAUGAACAGAUCAGUCACCACGAUAAUAUCAAUAUUAUUUUCAGUGUCAAACAGUUUAUACUGCAUUUCAAAAUUUUUCAAAAAAUCUCAAAACAAGUCAAUCCCAAACCAAUUUUAAGAGAAAUUUCAAAACAACAUAUUGCCCAAAAUAUCUUCAAUUUAUGUUGCCUAGCUAGUGGGGCAGCACAUUGUCAUGCAUACUCAUAUGAUCUUCAAGUUCAAUGGCAAUUUUAAACUCAGCAUCACAGACACAACAUAUAUAACCAAUACCAAUUGCUUCUCUUGCUUUUAAUUCUAUACAGACAUCACAUUGGUAGGACAUACCAUGGUCUUUGACCUUGUGCUGGUAAAAAAAAAUUCAAUAUCAUGGAACUGUUUGUUGCAUUUGUCAAAGACAAAAUGAUCAUCACUGUAUCUCAUUAGCAAGUCCUUGAUCUUAAAUAAUUUCUCUGCCACAGGUGUGGCAGAAUAAUAAGCCAUCUCUCAAGUGUGAUCUCGAGUGAUGUUUGCGACUUUGUCGUUUUGUGAAUGUUUUCUUGCAGAUACCGCACUCAAAGCUCAGGUUACUCUUGUGUGCUGAUACCUUAUGUUGUGUUAACUUGUGCAAUUCUGAAAAUCUCCUGUUGCAAACAUCACAUUGAUACAGUUUGUCUACAGUGGGUGUUCUCUUAUGAACUGUUAAGUGCCCUGACUGUGAAAAUCUCUCCAGUAUGUGUUUGUUUGUGUCUAGCAAAACCACUUUGAUGACAAAAUCUUUUGUUGCAAAAUCACAUUCAUAAGGUUUGUCUCUAGUAUGUGUUUGUUAUGCAUAGCUAAGUGGCCCAAUUGUGAAAAUCUCUUCCUACAACCAUCACAUUCAUAAGGUUUCUCUCCAGUGUGUGCUUUUUUUAUGUCUAGCUAAGCUGCCUGAAUGCGAAAAUCCUUUGUUGCAAACAUCACAUUCAAAAGGUUUCUCUCCAGUGUGUGUUCUUUUAUGAACCGCUAACACGUCUGAUCGCAAAAAUCUUUUGUUGCAAACAUCACAUUCAUAAGGUUUCUCUCCAGUGUGUGUUCUCCUAUGAAUCGCCAUGUGGCUUGAGUGGGAAAAUCGUUUGUUGCAAACAUCGCAUUCAUAAGGUUUCUCUCCAGUGUGUGUUCCCUUAUGAACUGUUAAGUGACUUGAGUGUGAAAAUCGUUUGCUGCAAACAUCACAUUCAUAAGGUUUCUCUCCAGUGUGUGUUCUCUUAUGGGCAGCUAAGUUGCCUGACUGAAAAAAUCUUUUGUUGCAAACAUCGCAUUGAUAAGGUUUGUCUCCAGUGUGUGUUCUUUUAUGUCUGGCAAAACUACUUGGAUCAGAAAAUCUUUUGUUGCAAACAUCACAUUCAUAAGGUUUGUCUCCAGUGUGUGUUCUUUUGUGUGUAACUAAGGUGCUUGAGUGUGAAAAUCUUUUGUUGCAAACAUCGCAUUCAUAAGGUUUGUCUGUAGUGUGUGUUCUUUUAUGUCUGGCAAAACUACAUGGAUUAGAAAAUCUUUUGUUGCAAACAUCACAUUCAUAAGGUUUCUCUCCAGUAUAUGUUCUCUUAUUGAUAGCUAAAAUGUCUGACCGCGAAAAUCUUUUAUUACAAACAUCGCAUUCACAAGGUUUGUCAUCAGUACGUGUUCUUUUAUGUCUCAUCAAAUUUCCUUUCUUUAAAAAUACCUCGUUACAAACAUCACAUUUACUAGACAUGGUUUCAGCUUUUGAUCUUUUCCCCGUACAGUGAAAUAUCGAUAAACAUAUCACCCAACUGUUCCCUCAAGUCUCUCUUUAUUGAAUCUUUAUAAUACUUCGGUUCUUACUGAAUUUCCGAUCAUAAAAAUGAGAAUAUUCACAGACACAGUUUGCAAACAACACGAGUAUAAAAAAUAU
rnacentral:lncRNA from 1 species